rnacentral:snRNA from 1 species
AUAGCUCCGCUAAAGCGGCCUUUUGGCUAAGAUCAAAGUGUAGUAUCUGUUCUUAUCAGCUUAAUCUCUGAUAUGUGAUCCAUCGAUCACAAUGAGAUUAUCUUAUUUUUGAAAAAACUGAUCGGUUUGUAGAGGCUUGCUCGUCGCCGCCCGCGGGUCGAUCCGGUAUUGCACCUGUCUCCGGGAAUUUCAUUCUUA